UACGGAGGAUCCAAGCGUUAUCCGGAAUCAUUGGGUUUAAAGGGUCCGUAGGCGGUCUUAUAAGUCAGUGGUGAAAUCUCUCCGCUCAACGGGGAAACGGCCAUUGAUACUGUAAGACUUGAAUUAUUGGGAAGUAACUAGAAUAUGUAGUGUAGCGGUGAAAUGCUUAGAUAUUACAUGGAAUACCGAUUGCGAAGGCAGGUUACUACCAAUGGAUUGACGCUGAUGGACGAAAAGCGUGGGGAGCGAACAGG
rnacentral:rRNA from 1 species